rnacentral:rRNA from 1 species
AUUGAACGCUGGCGGCAUGCCUUACACAUGCAAGUCGAACGGCAACAGGUCUUCGGAUGCUGACGAGUGGCGAACGGGUGAGUAAUAUAUCGGAACGUGCCCAGUCGUGGGGGAUAACGCAGCGAAAGCUGUGCUAAUACCGCAUACGAUCUAUGGAUGAAAGCGGGGGAUCGUAAGACCUCGCGCGAUUGGAGCGGCCGAUAUCAGAUUAGGUAGUUGGUGGGGUAAAGGCCCACCAAGCCAACGAUCUGUAGCUGGUCUGAGAGGACGACCAGCCACACUGGAACUGAGACACGGUCCAGACUCCUACGGGAGGCAGCAGUGGGGAAUUUUGGACAAUGGGCGCAAGCCUGAUCCAGCAAUGCCGCGUGCAGGAUGAAGGCCUUCGGGUUGUAAACUGCUUUUGUACGGAACGAAAAGGCUCUGGUUAAUACCUGGGGCUCAUGACGGUACCGUAAGAAUAAGCACCGGCUAACUACGUGCCAGCCGCCGCAGUAAUAC